UACAGAGGUCUCAAGCGUUGUUCGGAAUCACUGGGCGUAAAGGGUGCGUAGGCCGCACGGUAAGUCAGAGGUGAAAUCCCGGAGCUCAACUCCGGAAUGGCCUCCGAUACUGCCGUGCUCGAGGACUGGAGAGGAGUCUGGAAUUCACAGUGGAGCAGUGAAAUGCGUAGAUAUUGUGAGGAACACUAGUGGCGAAGGCGAGACUCUGGACAGUUCCUGACGCUGAGGCACGAAAGCUAGGGGAGCAAACAGG
rnacentral:rRNA from 1 species